AUUGAACGCUGGCGGCAUGCCUAACACAUGCAAGUCGAACGGCAGCACAGCCCGCAAGGGUGGGUGGCGAGUGGCGGACGGGUGAGGAAUACAUGGGAAUCUACCCUGUCGUGGGAUAACGGUAGGGAAACUUACGCUAAUACCGCAUACGACCGAGAGGUGAAAGCGGCGGACCGCAAGGCGUCGCGCGGCUGGAUGAGCCCAUGUCGGAUUAGCUAGUUGGCGGGGUAAAGGCCCACCAAGGCGACGAUCCGUAGCUGGUCUGAGAGGAUGAUCAGCCACACUGGAACUGAGACACGGUCCAGACUCCUACGGGAGGCAGCAGUGGGGAAUAUUGGACAAUGGGCGCAAGCCUGAUCCAGCAAUGCCGCGUGGGUGAAGAA
rnacentral:rRNA from 1 species